AGGCUUCGGUCUUUGCCGCAACUUCCGUCAAAUCUAUUACAUAUAGGGGCUGAAGGUUGUUCAUCACUAAAACAUUACGGAUGUGCAGAUCAAUUAUGGGAUUUCAUUGAAUCAUUUCAACCUCAGGUUCACAACCAUUUAAAUAUGAAGUCAGCAAUUAUAAGAGGGGAUUCAGAAAUUUUUUUUUCCCUCCG